UUGCUGAUUAUGCUGCAAAGAGGAAGGGACAGGAAGCAGCAAGCUUGAAAUGCAGAAAGAAAAGAAGAGAAGGAGAGAAAGAGCCAGAGCUGUGUGGGGUUGUUCAUAGUACUGCAACAUAGCAAAGUAUAAUGCACAGGGAAUGUUAACAGGCUGAAGCAGACUGGAUCCUGAGGUGAUCUGAACAGCUCCUGGAAGGGCUGAGGGUCCUUAUCUCCUGGCAGCAAUAGAGUGGAACAUAUCAAAGGAAAAACAUUGCAGCUUACAGGGUUGAGAAGAGACGGCAAGGGGAUUGCCACUACAUGUCAUUGCAUGACAUGAAGAAUGAAGUAUUUUAGGAGCCUCUGGUUGGUACAGAUAAGCCAAAGCAUUCUAGAUGCAAAGAGUAUAUCCUCAAAUAUGGCUGUACUAGAUGACAGCUUAAUGACAGUUCUGAGCCAGCUUUAACUAUUGUCUUGUCAGAAAGCACAAGGUUAUACACUGGAAGAAUACUGCUUUUGAGGAGGAGGUCAAAUCUGAAAAGGAAGAACAUCACCAAAGUGCAUUGUAGUCAGAAGGUGAUUGAUAGAGGCAAAAUAAUUCAGCUGAGACGUGCAGCCCAUUUCCUUGGCAUGACUGUGAACUGGAGCUGAAACUUCCCAGAGGCAUCCUUUCUCAGGGUGAGAGCCAAGCCAAAAAGACCAUCCAGGCUUGCAGCUGAAUCCAGCAUGGAUCAGCACUGUAGUUCUGGCCCAAUAAAACUUUCAGGACCAGACUUAAAUUUAUGGACUUUGGUAGUGCUCUGCUGGAGCAUGGGGGGAGGUGUGAGGGAGUGGUGAGCUCUGACUACUGCAGUGUUUGCUGUGAUUGUGUUGGGUGAUCCCAUCACUUUCAUUUGCACAGGGUGUCUAGCUAGGGAGGGGGCAGAGGGAAGCUUUCCUGUAGCACAUGGGGAGAGCAAGUCAGUUUGGUGGAAAACCCUGAGGAUUAGGUUUUGUUAGUCAGUUUGCUAACUGAGAGGGCUAAAUAGUGUUUAUGCUGCUGUAAUCUCAGUAGUACAGAAGAAGUUUGUUUCUCUUUGUUGCCAAGAUGUAGUUUAACUUAUUCACAAAGACCCUCUUCAGUUAAAGGACUUCACAUGCAAAGACAGACAAGCAUCGUUUGGCCAUUAAUUGUAUUGAAUGAGGAGGUAAAAUGCGAUCUCAGUGUUGCUGAACUAUUUAUUUUGGUUGUUGUUGUUGUUUAAUGCCAGCUCCAUGGAGAACUCUGGUAUACUUCAUAUAUCCCUACGUCAUACAUUUCAUGAUGAAGUAGGAUAUUAAGGAAGUGAAACAGCCACAAAGAUCUGCAUGCAGUUGAAGUUUUGUUGUAUAUAGGGAAGUAGAACUACAGGUCUGUCCUAAAGAUAUACAAGCUGGAGUGUAGGCUCUCAGUGAAAGUCAGACUGAUUUGACUGACAUCUGUGUGAAAACGAAGUGCUUGGUGUUGGAAAAUGGAGGUGCACUGGUGGAUUUUCAGUGAAAAGGCACCUUGAGUGGGAAGGUUAACUCCUUUGUUUGGUCACAUUAAAAGAAUAACAGAAGUUACUAAUCAGAGAGGUAAUGGGCCCACAGAAAAUGAACAAACUAGAUGAAAACCAUGGCCUUUGAUGUGGGAGCAGAUUGCAAGAUUUUAU